rnacentral:rRNA from 1 species
GACGAACGCUGGCGGCGUGCUUAACACAUGCAAGUCGAACGGUGAAGCUCCAGCUUGCUGGAGUGGAUCAGUGGCGAACGGGUGAGUAACACGUGAGCAACCUGCCCCUGACUCUGGAAUAAGCGCUGGAAACGGCGUCUAAUACUGGAUACGAGAAGGGUACGCAUGUGCACUUUCUGGAAAGUUUUUCGGUUGGGGAUGGGCUCGCGGCCUAUCAGCUUGUUGGUGAGGUAAUGGCUCACCAAGGCGACGACGGGUAGCCGGCCUGAGAGGGCGACCGGCCCCACUGGGACUGAGACACGGCCCAGACUCCUACGGGAGGCAGCAGUGGGGAAUAUUGCACAAUGGGCGAAAGCCUGAUGCAGCGACGCCGCGUGAGGGAUGACGGCCUUCGGGUUGUAAACCUCUUUCAGCAGGGAAGAAGCGAAAGUGACGGUACCUGCAGAAGAAGCACCGGCUAACUACGUG